GACGAACGCUGGCGGCGUGCUUAACACAUGCAAGUCGAACGGAAAGGCCCUGCUUUUGUGGGGUGCUCGAGUGGCGAACGGGUGAGUAACACGUGAGUAACAUGCACUUAACUGUGGGAUAACUUCAGGAAACUGGGGCGAAUACCGGGUAGGAGCUACUGAUGCAUGGGGGGGGUUGGAAAGAUUCGGCGGUUGGGGAUGGACUCGCGGCUUAUCAGCUUGUUGGUGGGGUAGUUGUGUACCAAGGCUUUGACGGGUAGCCGGCCUGGGAGGGUGACCGGCCUCCUUGGGCCUGCGAUACGCCCCAGACUCCUACGGGACGCAGUAGUGGGGAAUAUUGCACAAUGGGCGGAAGCCUGAUGCAGCAACGCCGCGUGCGGGAUGCCGGCCUUCGGGUUGUAAACCGCUUUCGCCUGUGCCGAAGCGUGAUUGACGGUAAUGGGUAAAGAAGCACCGGCUAACUACGUG
rnacentral:rRNA from 1 species